rnacentral:lncRNA from 1 species
AAUCACAUGCGGGAAAGUGCAAACGCGUGAUUUUAUUUGCUUUUGGGAAAUUUCUCAGAUCUAAGACAAACGGAGAAGGAAUUGAACCCAAAGAAAGGUCUUUUUAGCCAUAAUACAAAUUGCAAUAAAGACACUGUGAGGGUGCCUCUCAUGCUAUGUGAUGGGCAAGUGCCUCUCAGUCAUUUUCCUUUGGCUUGACCUGAAACUAAGAGAGUUUGAGUGAGAGAGGGAGAAGGGGAAGUUUCGGGGCAGCUCGCCCAUUUGGCCGGAUCUUUAAAGAGUCUCGAUCUUACCUAACAUUAG